rnacentral:rRNA from 1 species
AUUGAACGCUGGCGGCAGGCCUAACACAUGCAAGUCGAGCGGGGUUUUCGGACCUAGCGGCGGACGGGUGAGUAAUGCGUAGGAAGCUGCCCGAUAGAGGGGGAUACCAGUUGGAAACGACUGUUAAUACCGCAUAAUGUCUACGGACCAAAGUGUGGGACCUUCGGGCCACAUGCUAUCGGAUGCGCCUACGUGGGAUUAGCUAGUUGGUGAGGUAAUGGCUCACCAAGGCGACGAUCUCUAGCUGGUUUGAGAGGAUGAUCAGCCACACUGGAACUGAGACGCGGUCCAGACUCCUACGGGAGGCAGCAGUGGGGAAUAUUGGACAAUGGGCGCAAGCCUGAUCCAGCCAUGCCGCGUGUGUGAAGAAGGCCUUCGGGUUGUAAAGCACUUUCAGUAGGGAGGAAGCGUUGUGUGUUAACAGUACACAGCGUUGACGUUACCUACAGAAGAAGCACCGGCUAACUCUGUGCCAGCCGCCGCCGUAAGAC